rnacentral:rRNA from 1 species
UACAGAGGGUGCAAGCGUUAAUCGGAAUUACUGGGCGUAAAGCGUGCGUAGGUGGUGAGUUAAGUCUGUCGUGAAAGCCCCGGGCUCAACCUGGGAAUGGCGAUGGAUACUGGCUCGCUAGAGUGCGGUAGAGGGUGGUGGAAUUCCCGGUGUAGCAGUGAAAUGCGUAGAGAUCGGGAGGAACAUCAGUUGCGAAGGCGGCCACCUGGACCAGCACUGACACUGAGGCACGAAAGCGUGGGGAGCAAACAGG